ACGGGAGGCAGCAGUGGGGAAUAUUGGGCAAUGGGCGAAAGCCUGACCCAGCAACGCCGCGUGAAGGAAGAAGGCCUUCGGGUUGUAAACCUCUUUUACCAGGGACGAAGGACGUGACGGUACCUGGAGAAAAAGCAACGGCUAACUACGUGCCAGCAGCCGCGGUAAUACGUAGGUUGCAAGCGUUGUCCGGAUUUACUGGGUGUAAAGGGCGUGUAGGCGGAGAGGCAAGUCAGAUGUGAAAUCCCGGGGCUCAACCCCGGAACUGCAUUUGAAACUGUCUCCCUUGAGUAUCGGAGAGGCAAGCGGAAUUCCUAGUGUAGCGGUGAAAUGCGUAGAUAUUAGGAGGAACACCAGUGGCGAAGGCGACUUUCUGGACUGUACCUGACGCUGAGGCGCGAAAGCGUGGGGAGCGAACAGGAUUAGAUACCCUGGUA
rnacentral:rRNA from 1 species